UUUUGUGUUUUUUAGGGGAUAGCUGCACGGGUGUGUGCUCCGCCAGCCCCCACAGCAGAGGAGAGAAGACGACAGUAAGCAUGAGCAAUGUCGUUUACCCCUCCCUCCUCCUCCUCCCCUCUACCUCCCUCCCCUUUCAUUCUCCUUCAUUGCCACAGCCAUCAGAAUCCGUCCUCCCUCCCUCGCCAUCAUUCUGCUUGGUUAUGCAAUGCACAUUCCUCCCACGGAGACUAACUGGUGUUGGAGACCUACCGUAACACUGCUGUCACUGGCAGUAGAUGUAGAUCCAUUUUGCCAUGGCGACAGUCUGCUGCUGCCGUUGCCUCUCUACAGACGUCUGCUCCAUGGGAUUUUACAGCUUUUCCUCCUCUUCUGGAAUAUCAAAUGCCAGACUCGACUAACUCAGGGACGUGCCCAUUCUGACCUAGAUCAGCGGAGGCUGGGUGUCACCGAGACACUAUCAACUAAUCCUACAGACAUAAUCAUGCACAGUGUUGGCAUGGGGGCUUCAAUGAUGGGCAAAGGCUUUUUUGAAAGGCACUAAUUGCACUGUUCCCCAGAAGAGUAGGAGGCAAGCGGAAGGGACACUACAGAACGUGGGGGUGUGUAGAUUUACUGAUACGCUGGGGAGGGAGGCAGAGGCGUUGUGUGGAGGAGUUUCGGAAAAGGAGUGACAGGGAACUCAAGAGAAAAAGUAGAAAGAAAGGAUGGGAGGAACGGUAGGGAGGCUGGAGGGGGCAAAUGGGGCGAGGGUAUCUCCUCGCCCCUCAAAAGGGGCUGCUUGUGCUUUAGCAGCAGAAAUGCAAAGCCACUGAACAGACUGCAAAGACUUGUGAGGGGGAACUUAAUCAAAAGGGAAGUUGGGGGGGUGGGUUGCUAAACCUGGGAGGUGGCGCUAGUGACUGGAGGAGUGACACAAGAAGGUUUUCACUGGAAGCGCUGCUGAGCACGGCAAAGUCACCGUGGCACUGCUACCUCCUAUUCCUCUCUCCGUCACUUUGUCUGUCGCUCGCAGGCACUGGGACUGAGGCUACAUAGCCAGUCUCUCCCCCUUCGCCCUCUCUCCACAUGGAGCAUGCCUUUAAAGCCAUGGUUUUCCACUGAAGAUCCCAACAGCAUGCUGGAUUAUGGUGUCUUCCACAUAAGACGCUUUAGGAUAAGUGUCCUCCUGCCAGGUUAGGUGAGCAUCGGGAUCAUGGGCACCACAGUCAUCACCCUUGAGGAUGUGCAGGCACUGGAGGUCAAGGAGGAGCAGGAGGAGUCCAUCUUGGCCAUGUUAGGCAUCAUUGGCACAUUCCUUAACCUCUUUGUAAUUGUUUUUGUUUACAUCUACACCACACUGUGAAGUGCCAAAGCAUAGGAUAAAGUACCGCCAUCAGA